rnacentral:rRNA from 1 species
GAUGAACGCUGGCGGCGUGCCUAAUACAUGCAAGUCGAGCGAACGGACGAGAAGCUUGCUUCUCUGAUGUUAGCGGCGGACGGGUGAGUAACACGUGGAUAACCUACCUAUAAGACUGGGAUAACUUCGGGAAACCGUAGCUAAUACCGGAUAAUCUUUUGACCCGCAUGGUUCAAAAGUGAAAGACGGUCUUGCUGUCACUUAUAGAUGGAUCCGCGCUGCAUUAGCUAGUUGGUAAGGUAACGGCUUACCAAGGCAACGAUGCAUAGCCGACCUGAGAGGGUGAUCGGCCACACUGGAACUGAGACACGGUCCAGACUCCUACGGGAGGCAGCAGUAGGGAAUCUUCCGCAAUGGGCGAAAGCCUGACGGAGCAACGCCGCGUGAGUGAUGAAGGUCUUCGGAUCGUAAAACUCUGUUAUUAGGGAAGAACAUAUGUGUAAGUAACUGUGCACAUCUUGACGGUACCUAAUCAGAAAGCCACGGCUAACUACGUG